rnacentral:lncRNA from 1 species
CUCUCUCUUUUUCUUCUCUCUUCUUUCUUCUUCUUCUACUCUCUCUCUCCCUCUUUUUUCUUUCAAAACUCAUCUCUCCCCAUACUAAACAUCCAACCUAUCGUUGGCUCUUCCCUAACCUACCGUCGGCUCUUUCGCAACUCCCAACUCUCAUCUUCUUCUCCUCUCUUUCUCCAACUCUUAGCUUUUCCUCUCUCUCUCUCCCC